GCGGCCGCUUUCGAGUUCCGCCCGGGCAAAGGGAUGCGAGGGAUGCGAGGGAUGGGGGAGCUCCCCUUGGCCUCCCCGUUCAUUCCUCGGGGAGAUUUUUGUCUUCUCGGGGAGACGCCGGCGCUGCGGUAAAGGUGCGCAGUUCGUACGCGGCUCGCUGGGCUAUGGGGAUGGUAGGGGGCUCCCCCGGGAUGCAGCUGCUCGGUGCUGUCAAAUAGCAACGGUUUGGGUUGGAAGGGACCUGGAAAGAUCAUCUCGUUCCAACCCCCUCCUCGUUCCAACACCUUCCACUAGGUCAGGUUGCUCCAAGUCCCGUCCAACCUGGCUUUGGACACUUCCAGGGACGGGGCAGCCACAGCUUCUCUGGGCAACCUGUGCCAGGGCCUCCCCACCCUCACAGGGAAGAAUUUCUUCCCAAUAUCUCAUCUAACCCUGCCUUCUGUCAAUGUGAAGCCUUUCCCCCUUGUCACUCCGUGCCUUUGUCAAAGAAAUGACGGUGAGGACAUACAAAACAAAAACCCCAGCACACUGUCUUCCUGUGUGAAAGCACCAGCUCUGAGCCACUUUGGGGGAGUCGAGCUUUGGGACAGGAUUUUAUUUGCAGCUGGUAGGGAAGCCUAAAACAGGUGAGAGAGCCAAAAUCACCACAGACAUCUCGCUGAGCACACCAGGAACUCGCACGCAAAUGAGUCCCUCGCUCCCGCUGCCCACUGAGUUGGUGGCCCCUGUGUCACUCCCUGGGGGAGCGACGGCAGCCAGGCGGCUGCCUCAAUUAGAGCAUCUCCGUGACUUGGUGAGACAUUUUAAUGCUCCCCUUGCCCCCUUGUGAAAAGCAGGAGACGCACGGGUCCCCUCGGCAUCUCAGGAGAGUGGCACGAAAGAACUUUAUUUCUUUCUCAGCAGCUUGAAGCUCAAAGCAGAGUCACCUGUGACGGGGCCAGCCCGCCCCUCUGUCACCACCCAAAUGUUUUCUGACAUUUCUGUCCUUUCACUGUCGAUGGAAAGCAACGGAGAGGUGAGGCAGAGGCGGUGCUGGGGGUGCAUAAGGCACUGUGAUGCCUUUCUUGGGUUCAGCCCAGUUCUUGAUGCCAGCCCCAGCGAUGCAGCAGUUUUCUCCUCGGGACUCAGCACAAGGUGACCGAGUCCUCACAACCCUGCGGAGGCGCUUGUGUGGUCUGUGGGCAGAGCGAGGGCCGAGCUGCUCGGCCGAGAGCGGUGGGAAGAGGGGGCAGCGGGGGGAGAGGGAGUGGGAUCAGGAGCGGGAAUGCCGCUGCCACUGCUGCCCACUGCCUGAACUGUCCUCCAAGGGUCAAACUGUUCAACUUCAGCCCCUUUGCCAGACUCAAUCCUACUUUAGGGGAACAAAAGCCCAAAGUAGGCGACGAUCAAGAAAUGGGAGCACAAUGAUUUAAGCUUAUCACACAGCCCAGAAAUAAAGGACGCUGAGCUCGUGUGGGGGAGAGGGGGAGACCUUCAGAAAGGCUUUGUUUGCUGUAAGAAGAUUGAACUCUGAGGUGACCCGAUAGCCCUAAAAGUUUAGGGUCUGUGUUGCUGAGAGACCUUUGGGCACAGCCCAUCCACACGUGGACCUCACAAGUUGAGAGCCGGCGUUAAUGGCCGGCCUGCCCCAGGUGAAUGGGGGCGCGACAUCCCGGAGAAAGGGGGGACAAAGCUGCAGGGACAGGGUGGCCUGACCCCUCCCUGCUCUGCCUCCCUCACACCCACCCAGCCUGAGGUGUCCUAAGGGUUUGGGGUACCAGGGCUGCCCACACCAGGCUACCCAGCCCUAUGGCAGCCCCCGCAAAAACCCUGUGAGUGAGAUGGUUCUGCUCUUAAAUGGGGGGGACGGAAUAUAUCCAAAUCCAGCAGAGUAUCGGGAUGCUCUAGGGAGGGGAGAAAUGGAAAAUGCUGCAGCGUGUGUCCCCUAUGCCCCAAUCCAGGUCCUUCCCGAACCCUCUGUGAGCUCAGCGAACAGUGCUGCAAAGAGGGACAGGAGGAGGACUGGCCCCCCAGAUCCCAAGCCGUGCUAACACUUUGGGGGUUUUGGGAUCAAAGGGAGGAGGGGUUCCCCCAUAAGCGCUGCCCCAGCAUCCUUCCCUGGGUCCCCCCACCCCGGGCAGACGAGCCCCUCGUUGGGGGCCAAUUGUUCCCGGCAGAUUUGCAUGGCAGGUGCAGGCCUGCAAAGCGAUUUUGCCGUUCUGGCCCCCCCCCCCCCCGCCUCCCCAAGAGGGUUUGCCUCUCCCCCCUUGUGAAAAAAGGCCGCCGGUGCCUUCCUUUCCCAUGAAGAAGAGAAGAAGCUUGAGGAUCGCGUGAACACGCUUCAGUUUUCUUAUUCUUUUCUAUAGAUGUGGGGAAAAGAACAGCCGAUUGUGUGAAAAACCCAGUGCCUGCAAAAAGGGACAUUGGCCAUCCAGGCGAAGGUGCGCAAGGGAGAGCACUAAUCGCUGAACCAGGAGACAAAUACGAUUACCAGCUCCGAGCCUUGAGUCAGAAAGUCUCAUAGACUUUAAGAUGUUAAUCCCCAACAUAAUCCUUCCUUUGGCGUGUAGGAAUAGUGCAGCCACAAGAGUUGUUUUGUUAUUUAUAUUGGCGUUUAAUAAAACUCAGCCAGUGGUGAAUGGGCUGCCCACUCUCCAAUGGUAAUUAAUUCCCUAUUUCAGUGACCCAAUUGUGCUGGGAUAGAGCAGUGGGACAGUCCCACUGCCCCAACCCGCCUUUGUGCAGCUACACGGCUCUCGUGCUUCAACAGCUAUGGAAACUCAUUCUUUUGAUGUCAUUCAAUGAGUUUUCCUUGGGCAUCUUCUAAACUUCAAGGACCCUUUUCUUUCUCGAACGCCUGAAAAGCAGGACUAGCUUGACCACCUCUGUAGAAUUUAAUGAUUUGGUGAAAGGGCCUUUUUUCGGGGGGUUUGUGUAAGGAAAGAGAGAAAGAAAAUUUGGCAGGCUGGCUAUCAAACAGGGGGGCUAUCCAAACUCGGGUGUGCCGAACUCAUUCAGCUCCUAAUUUAUACGUGUCUUAAAAGCCACUUUUCCUUACUCUAAAUACUUGGAGGUUUCUCUCAGUCGAGGCAUUUCUAGAAGGGAUUUGCUAGUGAGCAAUAACUCUGUCUUACAGAUGUGAGUAAAGACACAGCAAGUGGUGUUUUAAGAAGGCAUUUCCAUCCAGAAAAAGGAAAACCACCUGGAUGUUUUUGCCCAGAAAAGGGGAAAAAUACCAGGUACCUGCAAUGGGUUAUUGAUAUAAAGUGUGCCUGUGGGUUUGUGCUUUUUGGCUGUACGGUGAGGUGGCGCAAGGAGUGUGUGAAGUGAACACAUGAAGAACAUGGAGUUACCCUGCAGAGCCACCCUGGUCCGGGCAGCCUCUUCUAUGUCUUUAUACACACUUCCAAAAAAAAAAAAAAAAAACCAAAAAAAAACCAAACCAAAAAAACCCCCUUCGCAAGUCACAAACAAUUCAGGAUUCAACUAAGAAAACACAGAGUGAACCAUAUGGCCGGGGUGGCUCGAGUUGGCUGCAUUUUCCCUCAGACAAAGAAGGGAUUGAGAGUUGAAGGAAAGGAGAAAAAACCCCAACUUUCCGGCUGAUGAAGCUGUUGUCUGGAGGCAAUGAUCCCAAAUCUCAAGGCUUUAUUCCAGGCUCCGACUGAGACGUGAUAUGUCAUAUGAUUAGCAUCUUUCAUAUUUACAAGAGUAGUGCGGGCUGCCAGUCUUUAGAGAAAGGCGAGAGAAAGAAGGGGCAUAUGCUGAAAUGGAUUUAGCAUUUGAAAGAGAGAAAAGAGAGCGGAUAAAUACACUUAAACGAGGAUUUAGUUUUACUCCCGUUGAGUUCUAAUGGCUUGUUGAUUGAGAUUUUAGGGAGCUGGGACAGAGGUGUCAGGAGUAAUUUAAAGGCGCUAUUCAACCCUGCCCCGCGCGGAAGGACCCGCCGCUCCCCCUCAGGGAGGAGCGGUUCUGCGGCCGCAGUGGCGGGCUGGCUCCAAGCGGGGCGGAUCACCGCGGCCGCCGCCGCUCCCUCCGCCGGGCGGGCAGGUGGCACCACCUGGCGGCGGCGGGAAACAUCCAGCGUGGAACCAGCCCCCGGCAGUGCUGACAUCGAUUUGCCCCAGAGUUAUCGACUGGCUGUGAUAUCUCUGUCUGGAAAAUGGUUCUUCAGAGCUCGGCCACUACCAAGAUGCUUUCUUUGAUGUCAGCCAAGUAGCUUGUUCCUGCUUAAACAGGCCAGGUUUCCCACAAUCAGCAAGUGCCUCUUUGCCCUCGUUAGCGCCACGUUCAUCCUCUUCUCCGAGUCUAUGAACCCAAACUGUCUGGUCCUGACACAGGACAAGACAAUGACUUCCUUCUCAGCACCUUGGAAAGCAUCUACAGUGGACACCUGGACAGGUUUCACUUCAAAAGCUUCAGAGUGAACCCCACUGAGCAAACCCUGAAUCUGUGGGCAAAAGAAACAGGGAAGGGGGUGAGUUUGGGAACUCAGAGUCAACCACUUGCCUUGACGAAACACCCAACAAAUCUGAGCCCCCACAAGAUGUGAGCUAGGAAACUAGAGAGUGCAAUGUGGAGGGAAAAUUGAAAGUAUGUAUUUUUUAAUCAUUCUUUGAAUUAAAAUAGCUUUAUUAAUUUUA